GUGGGGAGCGGUGGGUCGCGCCGCGGGCUGUCAGCUAGCUGCGCGCCGCCGCCCUAUGGCGCGAGGAGGCGCACGGGCCAAGCCCCGUGAGGCCUCCCCCGGCCGCGGGUGAGCCCCUCGGCUUGCCGCCCGCUAGCAUGUCACCUCCAGCCGCCGCGGCAGACUUCGCCAGCAGUGCCCGCGCCCCCGCCUCCCGCAGCCGCAGCCGCUGCCGCUGCCUGGGGCAUCGGCCCCCAGACCCCCGUCCCUGAUCCACGCCCAGACCCUAGAGCCGGAGGACCAUGGCCGGCCAGGGGGACUGCUGCGUCAAGGUGGCCGUCAGGAUUCGGCCCCAGCUGUCAAAGGAGAAGAUUGAGGGCUGUCACAUCUGUACCUCUGUCACCCCCGGGGAGCCCCAGGUCCUUCUGGGGAAGGACAAGGCCUUCACCUAUGACUUUGUCUUCGACCUGGACACCUGGCAGGAACAGAUCUAUUCGACCUGUGUGAGCAAGCUCAUCGAGGGCUGCUUCGAGGGCUACAAUGCCACAGUGCUGGCCUAUGGGCAGACAGGAGCCGGGAAGACAUAUACGAUGGGCACCGGCUUCGACACGGUGACAUCGGAGGAGGAGCAAGGCAUCAUUCCAAGGGCCAUAGCACACCUCUUUGGGGGCAUUGCCGAGCGCAAGCGGCGGGCGCAGGAGCAGGGUGUGGCCGGGCCUGAGUUCAAAGUCAGCGCUCAGUUCCUGGAGCUCUACAAUGAGGAGAUCCUUGACCUGUUUGACAGCACCCGUGACCCUGAUGCCCGCCACCGCAGGUCCAACAUCAAGAUUCACGAGGAUGGGAAUGGUGGCAUCUACACCACGGGUGUCACUUCCCGCCUCAUCAACUCCCAGGAGGAGCUGAUCCAGUGCCUAAAGCAGGGGGCCCUGUCCCGCACCACGGCCAGCACCCAGAUGAACGUGCAGAGCUCGCGCUCACACGCCAUCUUCACCAUCCAUGUGUGCCAGAUGCGCGUGUGCACCCAGCCGGACCCCGUGAACGAGGUGGUGACUGGGCUUCCUGAGGGCACUGCUCCCACCAGUGAGUAUGAGACGCUCACUGCUAAGUUUCACUUUGUGGACCUGGCUGGCUCAGAGCGGCUGAAGCGGACGGGGGCCACUGGCGAGCGGGCCAAGGAGGGCAUCUCCAUCAACUGCGGCCUGCUGGCCUUGGGCAACGUGAUCAGCGCCUUGGGGGACCAGAGCAAGAAGGUGGUGCACGUGCCAUAUAGGGACUCGAAGCUCACGCGGCUCCUCCAGGACUCGCUGGGGGGCAACAGCCAGACCAUCAUGAUUGCCUGUGUGAGCCCCUCUGACCGGGACUUCAUGGAGACGCUCAACACACUCAAAUAUGCCAACCGGGCCCGCAACAUCAAGAACAAGGUGGUGGUGAACCAGGACAAGACGAGCCAGCAGAUCAGCGCCCUGCGGGCCGAGAUCGCUCGGCUGCAGAUGGAGCUGAUGGAGUAUAAGGCGGGCAAGAGAGUGAUUGGGGAGGACGGUGCUGAGGGCUACAGUGACCUGUUCCGGGAGAACGCCAUGCUGCAGAAGGAGAAUGGGGCACUGCGUCUGCGGGUGAAGGCCAUGCAGGAGGCCAUCGAUGCCAUCAACAACCGUGUCACUCAUCUCAUGAGCCAGGAAGCCAAUCUGCUUCUGGCCAAGGCCGGUGAUGGCAACGAGGCCAUUGGUGCCCUGAUCCAGAACUAUAUCCGGGAAAUCGAGGAGCUGCGGACGAAGCUGCUGGAGAGCGAGGCCAUGAACGAGUCCCUGCGCCGCAGCCUCUCCCGGGCCUCCACUCGGAGCCCCUACUCCCUGGGCGCGUCUCCAGGCGCUCCCGCCUUUGGGGGCAGCCCGGCCAGCUCCAUGGAGGAUGCCUCGGAGGUGAUCCGCAGGGCCAAGCAGGACCUGGAGCGGCUCAAGAAGAAGGAGGUCAGACAGCGGAGAAAGAGCCCAGAGAAGGAGGCCUUCAAAAAGAGGGCAAAACUCCAACAGGAAAACAGUGAGGAGACCGACGAGAAUGAGGCUGAGGAGGAGGAGGAAGAGCGAGACGAGAGUGGCUGUGAGGAAGAGGAGGGCCGUGAGGAUGAAGACGAGGACUCGGGCAGUGAGGAGAGCCUGGUGGACUCGGACUCGGACCCUGAUGAGAAGGAGGUGAACUUCCAGGCCGACCUGGCCGACUUGACGUGUGAGAUCGAGAUCAAGCAGAAGCUGAUCGAUGAGCUGGAGAACAGCCAGCGGCGGCUGCAGACCCUGAAGCACCAGUAUGAGGAGAAGCUAAUUCUGCUUCAGAACAAGAUCCGGGACACACAGCUGGAGCGCGACCGCGUGCUGCAGAACCUCAGCACCAUGGAGUGCUACACGGAGGAGAAGGCCAACAAGAUCAAGGCGGAUUACGAGAAGCGGCUGCGGGAGAUGAACCGGGACCUGCAGAAGCUCCAGGCCGCGCAGAAGGAGCACGCGCGGCUGCUCAAGAACCAGUCCCGCUAUGAGAGGGAACUGAAGAAGUUGCAGGCCGAGGUGGCCGAGAUGAAGAAGGCCAAGGUGGCCCUGAUGAAGCAAAUGCGUGAGGAGCAGCAGCGGCGGCGGCUGGUGGAGACUAAGAGGAACCGGGAGAUUGCUCAGCUCAAGAAGGAACAGCGACGACAGGAGUUUCAGAUCCGAGCGCUCGAGUCCCAGAAGCGGCAGCAGGAAAUUGUCCUGAGGCGGAAAACCCAGGAGGUUUCUGCACUGAGGCGCCUGGCCAAGCCCAUGUCCGAGCGGGUGGCGGGGCGUGCGGGACCGAAGCCUCCCAUGCUGGACUCGGGGGCUGAGGUGUCAGCCAGCACCACAUCAUCUGAGGCUGAAUCAGGGGCCCGAUCCGUCUCCAGCAUCGUGCGCCAGUGGAACCGCCAAAUCAACCACUUCUCGGGGGACCACCCUGCAUCUGCUGUCAACGGCACCCGCCCUGCUAGAAAGAAGUUCCAGAAGAAGGGGGCCAGCCAGAGCUUCAGUAAGGCUGCAAGGCUCAAGUGGCAGUCCCUGGAACGGAGGAUUAUUGACAUCGUCAUGCAGAGGAUGACCAUUGUCAACCUAGAGGCUGACAUGGAGCGGCUCAUCAAGAAAAGGGAGGAGCUGUUCCUCCUGCAGGAGGCGCUGCGGAGGAAGCGGGAACGGCUGCAGGCUGAGAGCCCGGAGGAGGAGAAGGGCCUGCAGGAGCUGGCGGAGGAGAUCGAGGUGCUGGCGGCCAACAUCGACUAUAUCAACGACAGCAUCACCGACUGCCAGGCCACCAUCGUGCAGCUGGAGGAGACCAAGGAGGAGCUGGACUCCACAGACACAUCCGUGGUCAUCAGCUCCUGCUCCCUGGCCGAAGCCCGCCUCCUGCUGGACAACUUCCUCAAGGCAUCCAUCGACAAGGGGCUGCAAGUGGCACAGAAGGAGGCCCAGAUCCGGCUGCUGGAGGGGCGGCUGAGGCAGACCGACAUAGCAGGCUCCUCUCAGAACCAUCUGCUCCUGGAUGCCCUGCGAGAGAAGGCGGAGGCGCACCCCGAGCUGCAGGCCCUCAUCAACAACGUGCAACAGGAGAACGGCUACGCCAGCACGGAUGAGGAAAUCUCUGAGUUCUCUGAGGGGAGCUUCUCCCAGUCAUUCACCAUGAAAGGUUCCACCAGCCAUGAUGAUUUCAAGUUCAAGGGUGAGCCCAAACUGUCUGCUCAAAUGAAGGCUGUGUCAGCUGAGUGCCUGGGUCCCCCGCUGGAUAGCUCCACCAAGAACAUCACCAAGUCCCUGGCCUCCCUUGUUGAGAUCAAAGAGGACGGAGUCGGCCUCUCCGUCCGAGACCCAUACUACCGGGACAAGGUCUCGCGCACCAUCAGCCUGCCCAGCAGAGGCAGUACUUUCCCCCGGCAGUCUCGAGGCACGGAGACAUCCCCUCUGACCCGAAGGAAGUCGUAUGACCGAGGGCAGCCCAUUAGGUCCACGGAUGUGGGAUUCACGCCCCCCUCGUCCCCUCCUACUCGGCCCCGCAAUGACCGGAACGUCUUCUCUCGUCUCACCAGUAAUCAGAGCCAAGGCUCAGCAUUGGACAAGUCUGAUGACAGCGACUCCUCUUUGUCGGAGGUCCUGAGGGGCGUCAUCACCCCCGUUGGAGGAGCCAAGGGUGCAAGGACAGCCCCACUGCAGUGUGUCUCCAUGGCCGAGGGCCACACCAGGCCCAUCCUCUGCCUGGACGCCACAGACGAGCUACUGUUCACAGGAUCCAAAGACCGCAGCUGUAAGAUGUGGAACUUGGUCACAGGCCAGGAGAUUGCGGCCCUGAAGGGCCACCCCAACAACGUGGUGUCCCUCAAGUACUGUAGCCACUCCGGGCUUGUGUUCUCCGUGUCUGCCUCUUACAUCAAGGUGUGGGACAUCCGGGACUCGGCCAAGUGCAUCCGGACCCUCACGUCCUCUGGCCAGGUGACCUCUGGGGACGCCUGUGCCGCCGCAUCCACCCGUGCCAUCACCAGUGCUCAGGGGGAGCAUCAGAUCAACCAGAUCGCCCUCAGCCCCUCAGGCACCAUGCUGUAUGCUGCCUCGGGCAACGCCGUCCGCAUCUGGGAGCUGAGCAGGUUCCAGCUGGUUGGCAAGCUGACUGGCCACAUCGGCCCUGUGAUGUGCCUGACCGUCACCCAGACCGCCAGCCAGCAUGACCUGGUGGUGACCGGCUCCAAGGACCACUACGUGAAGAUGUUCGAGUUGGGUGAGUGUGUGACGGGCACCAUUGGUCCCACGCACAACUUUGAACCCCCACACUAUGACGGUAUCGAGUGUCUUGCCAUCCAGGGAGAUGUCCUAUUCAGUGGCUCCCGGGAUAAUGGCAUCAAGAAGUGGGACCUAGAGCAGCAGGAGCUCAUUCAGCAAAUCCCCAAUGCACACAAGGACUGGGUGUGUGCCCUGGCCUUUGUCCCGGGCCGCCCCAUGCUGCUGAGCGCCUGCCGUGCGGGCGUCAUCAAGGUCUGGAACGUGGACAACUUCACGCCCAUUGGCGAGAUCAGGGGCCACGACAGCCCCAUCAAUGCCAUCUGCACCAACACCAAGCACAUCUUCACUGCUUCCAGUGACUGCCGGGUAAAGGUGUGGAAUUACGUCCCCGGACUCACUCCCUGCCUUCCUCGCCGAGUCCUGGCCAUAAAGGGCCGAGCCACCACCCUGCCCUGACCCUCCCCUCCCGCCUCCUCUGUCACUCGCCCCUCUUUCCUCUUCCCUCUCUUUCUCCACUUCGGUCUGAGCUGCUUCUCAACGCGACCUGACGGUGAAGUUCUGGAGCGUGCGGCGGUUACCCCGCGGGCCACCCUAGGAGCACGCAGCUGAGCUCACCCCAGCUGCCUUUCCGAGGACGGCCCCCAGACCCUCGGCCCCCCCCCCCGGCAGCCUGGACAGCACAGAAGGGAAGCUGUGGUCUGACGGGGCCAACUGCCCUGGGGACAGAGGGUGUGGGCCUCGGGUAUGGCCCCUCUCCUGCUCUCCUGCAUCUCCCUUGACCUUCCUACAGGAUACUAUUCCCCUUGCCUCUUGGGGGAGAGAGAGAGGCUGAGGAGGAAUUUAAGCUGUGAAGCCAAA